GCCAGAGUGGUGCAGUGGUUUCAGUGCUGGACUACAGUUUUGGAGACCAUGGUUCGAAUCCUGGCUCAGCCA